CUGGAUUUUGGCCAAAGCCUUUCAGGGGUUAUCCUGACUUCAGUCUGCCAGGGACGCUCCUCUAUUCCACCCAUCUUUUCUGGUGGAGUGGCUCCAACACCUGCUUUGCCACAUUUAUUUCUGUCAGAAUCCCACCCAUCUCAAUUCCCACACCUGUGUAAGUUCUGUUCUUCCAGCAGCUCCAGAGGACUGUGCAUUGCCCUUUGCUCUGCAUUGCUAGGUGGGCUCUUAGUAGCCUCUCUGGAGAAUACACAGGGCACUUACACAUAACUCUUGGGUGAGCGCGGUGACGUGGGGUUCCUCACUGAAGCUCACAGCUGUGUCAAGAUGACUGAAAGUACCUUCUUGUUCAAGGGGAUUCCAAUGCGGGCUGCUUUCGUUAGUGAGGAAUCUCUGUUGUUUGCUCAGAAUUUUUUGGUGAAAGAUGAUGAUGUCAUCAUAGUGAGCUACCCUAGAUCAGAUUAUUUAUGUCAUCAGGAAUCCAAAAGAUGUUGCUACAAUCUAGUUAUUAUAUAAGAAAACAUUUGUCCCUUUUGAAAAAUCAAACAGACUUUUGAAGAACAUCUUCAUGCAUUUAUCCAAGGUGAUGCGACUUUUGGAUCCUGGUUUGAUCACACCAUUGGAUGGCUAACAAGGAGAGACACAGCGAACUUUCUCCUCAUGUCCUAUGAGGAGCUACAGAGGGACCUCAGGGGCAACAUGCAAAAAUUGUGUCAAUUUCUGGGCAAACCUCUGAGUCCAGAGCAACUCGAUUCUGCUGUCCAGCACGUGUCCUUCUCCGCCAUGAAAGAGAACACGAUGUCCAACAGUAUAAUGCUCAGAAAUCCGGAAGAUGACAAAGUCCACAAUAUACCAUUGCUGAGAAAGGGCACAUGUGGCAACUGGAAGAAUGUCUUCACUGUGGCCCAGAGUGAAGCCUUUGACACGGCCUAUCAGGAGAAGAUGGUGAGGCUCGAUCCUGGUCUCUUCCCCUGGUUGAAUACUGCUGACUGAUUCCCCGCCCCCUCCCAGACAGGGUUCUCAGUGCAGUCCUGGCUGUGCUGGAACUAGCUCUUUUCACAGGCUGGCCUUGAACUCAAAGAUCCCCCUGCCUCUUUACUGCUGGGAUUAAAGGGCUGCAUCUCCACAGCCUGAUUGUCUGGUUGGAAGACUGUAAAUAAACCUUCCAAGAACUCUGA